rnacentral:rRNA from 1 species
UGGGGAAUAUUGGACAAUGGGCGCAAGCCUGAUCCAGCCAUGCCGCGUGAGUGAUGAAGGCCCUAGGGUUGUAAAGCUCUUUCACCGGUGAAGAUAAUGACGGUAACCGGAGAAGAAGCCCCGGCUAACUUCGUGCCAGCAGCCGCGGUAAUACGAAGGGGGCUAGCGUUGUUCGGACUUACUGGGCGUAAAGCGCACGUAGGCGGACUUUUAAGUCAGGGGUGAAAUCCAGGGGCUCAACCCCGGAACUGCCUUUGAUCCUGGAAGUCUUGAGUAUGGUAGGGGUGAGUUGAAUUCCGGGUGUAGAGGUGAAAUUCGUAGAUAUUCGGAGGAACACCAGGGGCGAAGGCGGCUCACUGGACCAUUACUGACGCUGAGGUGCGAAAGCGUGGGGAGCAAACAGG